rnacentral:lncRNA from 1 species
UAGAAGGACAGCCAUUUGCCUGGGCGUCAGGAGCCUCUCCUGAUGAUGGAGAGAGCCUCCACAUAUCCUGCAAGUGGCUGUCACAAUGUCCGGUCCGUGCAAAACCGUGUCAAAGACCAAGGUCCACAUUGAUGGAGCGUGGCCCUGCCUCAAGAGACUCUACUAGACCAGGGAGCCCAGCUGGGACCCCUUUGCUGCUUGUUGCUGCUUUUGCAACAGCAGUGAAAACACAGAAGAAAGCAGGAAGCAGACUUCCGCACGUGGGGAAGAGGUGGGAGGAGCUGAGCUGGCUCCGGCUGAGACCGAGAGGACUGGCUAGGAAAGAGCCACAAAAUGUGUUUGAGUCAGUGAGAUGAGUUCUGGACAAGGAAAAGUGGACCUAAGAGAGCCCAGCUGUGUCCCAAAGCCAUAGGUCUGGAGCAGACUGCAGCAGGACCCAGAGGAUGUGUGAUCCUUGAGAGAUGACAAGAGCACUCAGACUGUCCGCCCCGCUCUACCCACGCAGGUGUGCAUGCAUUGUGUGGACAUAUGUGCAGGAACUGAAGAACAACCUCAAGUGUUAUUCUCAAAGACGCCACCCACCUCUAUGUAACAGGGUCUCUUACUGUCCUGAACUUGGCAGCUAGGCUAGGCUGGGUGGUCAGUGAGCCCCAGUGCUCCUGGGUGCUGGGAUUACAAGCACGCACACCAUGAUGGUGUUUUUACAUAGAUGCUGAGGACUCGAACUCAGAUCCUAUGCUUGCAAAGCUUUGCCAACUGAGCCAUCUCCCCAGCCCAAGUAACUAUUUUCAAAAUAAAACAUCAAUGCUCAGCAAGAGAAAUCUCUGUUACGAUCUUAUAUACGUGUAUCAAAGUUCUUUCAUCUGGAU